rnacentral:rRNA from 1 species
GGAGUUAUGUUAUGUGUAGGGACGAAUACUCCCUAUGCUUGACUAAGGCUCCUAAAGAAGCCACGGCUAAAUGCGUGCCAGCAGCCGCGGUUAGACGCAUGUGGCGAGCGUUAUUCGGAAUCACUGGGCUUUUAGGGCACGUAGGCUGCCUGGUUAGCGGAUGGUGAUAGCCCUCGGCUCUACCGUGGUAUUGCCGUCUGUACUGCCUUGCUU